rnacentral:rRNA from 1 species
AUCUAGUGGAUUAAAGGUGGCUUUUGGGCUGUCGCAGAUGGAUGAGCCUGCGUUGGAUUAGCUAGUUGGUGGGGUAAGGGCCUACCAAGGCUACGAUCCAUAGCUGAUUUGAGAGGAUGAUCAGCCACAUUGGGACUGAGACACGGCCCAAACUCCUACGGGAGGCAGCAGUGAGGAAUAUUGGACAAUGGGGGCAACCCUGAUCCAGCAAUGCCAUGUGUGUGAAGAAGGCCUUAGGGUUGUAAAGCACUUUAGUUGGGGAAGAAAGCUUUGAGGUUAAUAGCCUUGAGGAAAAGGACGUUACCCAAAGAAUAAGCACCGGCUAACUCCGUGCCAGCAGCCGCGGUAAUACGGGGGGUGCAAGCGUUAAUCGGAAUUACUGGGCGUAAAGGGUCUGUAGGUGGUUUGUUAAGUCAGAUGUGAAAGCCUAGGGCUCAACCUUGGAACUGCAUUUGAUACUGGUAAACUAGAGUACGGUAGAGGAAUGGGGAAUUUCUGGUGUAGCGGUGAAAUGCGUAGAGAUCAGAAGGAACACCAAUGGCGAAGGCAACAUUCUGGACCGAUACUGACACUGAGGGACGAAAGCGUGGGGAUCAAACAGGAUUAGAUACCCUGGUAGUCCACGCUGUAAACGAUGAGUACUAGCUGUUGGAGUCGGUGUAAAGGCUCUAGUGGCGCAGCUAACGCGAUAAGUACUCCGCCUGGGGACUACGGCCGCAAGGCUAAAACUCAAAGGAAUUGACGGGGACCCGCACAAGCGGUGGAGCAUGUAGUUUAAUUCGAUGCAACGCGAAGAACCUUACCUGGUCUUGACAUCCUGCGAUCUUUCUAGAGAUAGAUUGGUGCCUUCGGGAACGCAGUGACAGGUGCUGCACGGCUGUCGUCAGCUCGUGUUGUGAAAUGUUGGGUUAAGUCCCGCAACGAGCGCAACCCCUAUUGAUAGUUACCAUCAUUAAUUUGGGUACUCUAUUAGACUGCCGCUGACAGGCGGAGAA